rnacentral:rRNA from 1 species
CCUACGGGAGGCAGCAGUGAGGAAUAUUGGUCAAUGGGCGCAAGCCUGAACCAGCCAAGUCGCGUGAGGGAUGACGGUCCUAUGGGUCGUAAACCGCUUUUGCCCGGGGACAACACCCUCCACGUGUGGCGGUCUGCAGGUUCCCCGAGAAUAAGGCCUGGCCAAUUCCGGUCCCGCAGCCGCGGUAAUACGGAAGGCUCGAGCGGUAUCCGGCUUUAUUGGGUUUAAAGGGAGCGUAGGCGGGCAUUCAAGUCAGCGGUAAAAUUGCGCGGCUCAACCCCGCCCCGCAGUUGAAACUGGAGUCCUUGAGUGCACGAGAGGCAGGCGGAAUUCGUGGUGUAGCGGUGAAAUGCAUAGAUAUCACGAAGAACCCCGAUUGCGAAGGCAGCCUGCCGGCGUGCGACUGACGCUGAGGCUCGAAAGUGCGGGUAUCGAACAGGAUUAGAUACCCUAGUAGUC